GGAUAACUACUGGAAACGGUGGCUAAUACCGCAUAACGUCGCAAGACCAAAGAGGGGGACCUUCGGGCCUCUUGCCAUCAGAUGUGCCCAGAUGGGAUUAGCUUGUUGGUGAGGUAACGGCUCACCAAGGCGACGAUCCCUAGCUGGUCUGAGAGGAUGACCAGCCACACUGGAACUGAGACACGGUCCAGACUCCUACGGGAGGCAGCAGUGGGGAAUAUUGCACAAUGGGCGCAAGCCUGAUGCAGCCAUGCCGCGUGUAUGAAGAAGGCCUUCGGGUUGUAAAGUACUUUCAGCGGGGAGGAAGGUGUUGUGGUUAAUAACCGCAGCAAUUGACGUUACCCGCAGAAGAAGCACCGGCUAACUCCGUGCCAGCAGCCGCGGUAAUACGGAGGGUGCAAGCGUUAAUCGGAAUUACUGGGCGUAAAGCGCACGCAGGCGGUCUGUCAAGUCGGAUGUGAAAUCCCCGGGCUCAACCUGGGAACUGCAUUCGAAACUGGCAGGCUUGAGUCUUGUAGAGGGGGGUAGAAUUCCAGGUGUAGCGGUGAAAUGCGUAGAGAUCUGGAGGAAUACCGGUGGCGAAGGCGGCCCCCUGGACAAAGACU
rnacentral:rRNA from 1 species